AAGAAUUUAAAGGUCGAACAGACCUAAUAAUUGGGCUACUGCACCCAAGAUUUAUCUUAAUCCAACAUCGAGGUCGCAAUCUGUUUUGUUGAUAUGAGCUCUCAAAAACAAUUACG
rnacentral:rRNA from 1 species